CCCAGGUCAGGCGGGGCUACCCGCUGAAUUUAAGCAUAUCAUAA
rnacentral:rRNA from 6 species